GUCUCUACUAAAAAUACACACACACAAAAAAUUAGCUGGGCAUCUGGCCAACACAGUGAAACACCGUCUCUACUUAAAAUACAAAAAUUAGCUGGGCUUGGUGGUGGGCGCCUGUAAUCCCAGCAGCUACUCAGGAGGCUGAGGCAGGAGAAUCAUUUGAAUCUGGGAGGUAGAGGUUGCAGUGAACCAAGAUCGAGCCUUUCCACUCCUGUGCGACAGAGCCUGUGUCUGUCGCAUUAGCCUGUGCAACAGAGCGAGACUCUAUUUCAAAAACAACAACAACAACAACAACAACAGGACUUCCAGAAGAUUACAUAUGGGGUACAGGAGAAGGAAUCCAUGGAAUCCAUGACUGCCAGGUUUUUACUGGGGCUUAAGGAGGAAGACAGUAGCGCUGGCAAAAGCUGGGAAGGAGGACAGGCAGGUGAGCUGGUGCACCUUUGAGCUGAAUGAUGGGUCUGUCUAGGGUGUCUCUUGCUGAAGAACUUUUGAACUCUUAUAGUAGGAGACAACACUAGAGGAUCAAUAGAGAAAGUUGGAAAACUCUGGAUCGACUUGCACCUGGAAACUGAUGAGCUCUGUGGUGUUAGGCAAGUCAGUUCACCUCUGUGGAUUUCAGUUCCCUGAAAGGUCCUUCACACCUUCCUCCCAUAUCAGAAUCUCCUGAAGUGCUUGUGAACAUGCACAUACAUGGACAAUUGUCUGCAUUGGAUAAUGAAAAAGCACAGAUUUAAAAGACUUGCCUAAGAUGGUACAGGCAGAGCCAAAAUGAGGGCUCCAGUCCAGGUCUGACUCACUCUAAAACUGUAAGAUAUGAGUAAAAGGAGUGAAUGGAGAUGGUCCCAAACAGAAUUUCCAUAGCAUCGCCAGUGAUACUUCAGCAUGUAAGUGGGCCAGGCUUGGGAAAAAGCUGUAGCUGUCCCCUUAUCUCCUAGUUGGAGAGUGCUACAGUUAAGUUUCAUUAUUUCAUCAUUUCCUCUGCUGACCCAGGGCAGGCACCACCACAUCCUCAACCAGGGACACACACAGGACUCUCACAUUUUACCAAACAAAAAAUCCUACAAACAAGCCUAAAAUUUCCCUUUGAAGCCAAAUGGGAGAACCAAAUCUACCUCAACUUUACUCUAAAGCUGUUUUUUAACACAUAUACUAAUAACAUUUUUAAAAGAAUUUCAGGAUGUUGACUCUCUAGAAACCGUGACAAACAUAUAAUUGAGUUUUUAAAAAAUAAGGUUGACAUAUCAACCUGUCAUAUGACCUAUGAAAUGCUUUCAAGAAACCCGUGCAAAAUUAAAGAGAGCUCUUCAAGACAUCAAACACACAAAAAGAAGUUAUUUGGGGCCGGGUGCGGUGGCUCACACCUGUAAUCCCAGCACUUUGGGAGGCCGCAAAGGGCAAAUCACUUGAGGUCAGGCAUUAUACCCUCCAUUCCCCCUUCUUCUCCCUUAGCCUGUGUUCUUAAAAACCUAAAACCUCUUCAACUCACACCUGACCUAAAACCUAAAGGCCUUAUUUUCUUCUACAAUGCCGCUUGACCCCAAUACAAACUCGAUAGUGGUUCCAAACAGCCAGAAAACAGCACUUUCAUUUUUUCCAUCUUACAAGAUCUAAAUAAUUCUUGUCAUAAAAUGGGCAAGUGGUCUGAGGUGCCUGACGUCCAGGCAUUCUUUUACACAUCAGUCCUCCCUAGUCUGUGUUCCCAAUGCAACUCGUCCCAAAUCUUCCCUCUUUCCUUCCCGCCUGUCCCCUCAGUCCCAACCCCAAGUGUCGCCGAGUCUUUCUAAUCUUCCUUUUCUACAGACCCAUCUGACCUCUCUCCUCCAUGCCAGGCCCAGCUAGGUCCCAAUUCUUCCUCAGCCUCUGCUCCUCCACCCUAUAAUCCUUUUAUCACCUCCCCUCCUCACACCCAGUCUGGCUUACAGUUUCGUUCCAUGACUAGCCCUCCCCCACCUGCCCAGCAAUUUCCUCUUAAAAAGUAGCUGGAGCUAAAGGCAUAGUCAAGGUUAAUGCUCCUUUUCUUUAUCCCAAAUAAGAGAGCAUUUAGGCUCUUUUUCAUGAAAUAUGAAAAACCCAGCCCAGUUCAUGGCUCAUUUGGCAGCAACCCUGAGACACUUUACAGCCCUAGACCCUAAAAGGUCAAAAGGCCGUCUUAUUCUCAACACACAUUUUAUUACCCAAUCCACUCCCGACUUUAAAUAAAUCUCCAAAAAUUAAAUUCCGGCCCUCAAACCCCACAACAGGACUUAAUUAACCUCACCUUCAAGGUGUACAAAAAUAGAAAAAAGUUGCAAUUCCUUGCCUCCACUGUGAGACAAACCCCAGCCACAUCUCCAGCACACAAGAACUUCCAAAUACCUGAACCACAGCAGCCAGGCGUUCCUCCAGAACCUCCUCCCCCAGGAGCUUGCUACAAGUGCUGGAAAUCUGGCCACUGCGCCAAGGAAUGCCCACAGCCCAGGAUUCCUCCUAAGCCGUGUCCCAUCUGUGCGGGACCCCCAAGAAAAUCGGACUGUUCAACUCACCUGGCAGCCACUUCCAGAGCCCCUGGAACUCUGGCCCAAGGCUCUCUGACUGACUCCUUCCCAGAUCUUCUCGGCUUAGCAGCUGAAGACUGACACUGCCCAAUCACCUCAGAAGCCUACAGGACCAUCACAGACACUCUAGGUAACUCUCACAGUGGAGGGUAAGUCCGUCCCCUUCUUAAUCAAUACGGAGGCUACCCACUCCACAUUACCUUCUUUUCAAGGGCCUGUUUCCCUUGCCUCCAUAACUGUUGUGGGUAUUGAUGGCCAAGCUUCAAAACCCCUGAAAACUCCCCCACUCUAGUGCCAACUUGGACAACACUCUUUUAUGCAUUCUUUUUUAGUUAUUCCCACCUGCCCAGUUCCCUUAUUAGGCCGAGAUAUUUUAAGCAAAUUAUCUGCUUCCCUGACUAUUCCUGGACUACAGCCACAUCUCAUUGCCGCCCUUAUCCCCAACCCAAAGCCUCCUUUGCGUCUUCCUCUCAUAUCCCCCAACCUUAACCCACAAGUAUAGGACAUCUCUACUCCUUCCCUGGCAACGGAUCACAUGCCCAUUACCAUCCCAUUAAAACCUAAUUACCCUUACCCCGCUCAACGCCAAUAUCCCAUCCCACAGCAC
rnacentral:lncRNA from 10 species